rnacentral:rRNA from 1 species
AGAGUUUGAUCAUGGCUCAGGACGAACGCUGGCGGCGUGCCUAAUACAUGCAAGUCGAGCGGAGAGAUAAGCAAGUUCUUCGGAACGAGCUUAUGUCUCAGCGGCGAACGGGUGAGUAACGCGUGGGUAACCUGCCCUAAAGACCGGGAUAACAGCGGGAAACCGCUGCUAAUACCGGAUGAGUUUGCUUUUUCGCAUGAGGAAGCAAAGAAAGGAGCAAUCGCUUUAGGAUGGACCCGCGUCCCAUUAGCUAGUUGGUGAGGUAACGGCUCACCAAGGCGACGAUGGGUAGCCGGCCUGAGAGGGUGAACGGCCACACUGGGACUGAGACACGGCCCAGACUCCUACGGGAGGCAGCAGUAGGGAAUUUUGCGCAAUGGGGGGAACCCUGACGCAGCGACGCCGCGUGAGCGAAGAAGGCCUUCGGGUCGUAAAGCUCUGUCCUAUGGGACGAGAGAGGACGGUACCAUAGGAGGAAGCCCCGACUAACUACGUGCCAGCAGUCGCGGUAAUACGUAGGGGGCGAGCGUUGUCCGGAAUUACUGGGCGUAAAGGGUGCGUAGGCGGGCUGUCAAGUCUGAUGUGAAAGGUUGCGGCUUAACCGUGAGAAGGCAUUGGAAACUGGCAGUCUUGAGUGCAGGAGAGGGAAGCGGAAUUCCCGGUGUAGCGGUGGAAUGCGUAGAUAUCGGGAGGAACACCAGUGGCGAAGGCGGCUUUCUGGACUGUAACUGACGCUGAGGCACGAAAGCUGGGGGAGCAAACAGGAUUAGAUACCCUGGUAGUCCCAGCCGUAAACGAUGGAUACUAGGUGUUGGCGGUUCAGACCGUCAGUGCCGGAGCUAACGUGAUAAGUAUCCCGCCUGGGGAGUACGGUCGCAAGACUGAAACUUAAAUGAAUUGACGG